CCGGUUGAUCCUGCCGGAGGCGACCGCUAUUGGAGUUCGAUUAAGCCAUGCGAGUAGAAAGAAAUUAGAUUCUUUGCAUACUGCUCGGUAACACGUGGAUAACCUGCCCUACACUGGGGGAUAACCUCGGGAAACUGAGAAUAAUACCCCAUAGACCACAACGCCUGGAACGGUGUGUGGUUGAAAGCUCAGGCGGUGUAGGAUGGGUCUGCGGCGUAUCAGGUCGUAGGGGGUGUAAUGGACCUCCUAGCCAUCGACGCGUACGGGUUGUGGGAGCAAUAGCCCGGAGACGGAUUCUGAGACACGAAUCCGGACCCUACGGGGUGCAGCAGGCGCGAAAACUUCACACUGCAGGCAACUGUGAUGAGGGAACUCCAAGUGACUGCACAUUGUGUAGCCUUUUCUUGAAUUUUAAUAGUUCUUGGAAUAAGGGCUGGGAAAGACCGGUGCCAGCCGCCGCGGUAAUACCGGCAGCUCAAGUGGUCGUCGCUUUUAUUGGGCCUAAAACGUCCGUAGCCUGUUUGGUAAAUCUGUGGGUAAAUCAAUCCGCUCAACGGAUUGAAUUCUGCAGAGACUGCCAGACUAGGGACCGGGAGAGGUAUGAGGUACUCUGGGGGUAGGGGUAAAAUCCUGUCAUCCUCAGAGGACCACCUGUUGCGAAGGCGUCAUACUGGAACGGAUCCGACGGUCAGGGACGAAGCCUAGGGGCACGAACCGGAUUAGAUACCCGGGUAGUCCUAGGUGUAAACGCUGUGGAUUUGGUGUUGGGGAUCCGCAAUGGGUCCCCAGUGCCGGAGUGAAGAUGUUAAAUCCACUGCCUGGGGAGUACGGUCGCAAGGCUGAAACUUAAAGGAAUUGGCGGGGGAGCACUGCAACGGGAGGAGCGUGCGGUUUAAUUGGAUCAACGCCGGC
rnacentral:rRNA from 1 species